CUUUUUAAGGCUUCAAUAGAGCUAAGCAUCAUCAGAAUUCAGUCUUACACUGAAACUACAAAUGGUUUUGCUACGGUUGAGUGUUGCAACUCACAGCUCGAAAUCCUUUCCCUCCUCAUCUAUCCUCCUUAGACCUAUGAAUCUCAAAACAGCCACAACAUUACAGCUCUGCCAGAGCGGCUUCGUUCCAUCAGGUUCAGUAAGCUGCAGUUCAGAUCCAACGCCACUAAGCAGCAGAAAAAAAAAAUACAAAUUCAAUGCUAUCAUGUACUUGAAUUUGUGUUCAUAGAAAGGAUACAUGUGUGAUCAUAUAAAAAAUAUAUUUGUUCAGUAAGACAGAAUGCAUUAGAAGGAAAACAAUCGCACAUUCAGUUACAUCACAACUUGUGAAAUAGAGGAAGGUGAGAGUACUACUUCCACCUUCCUCCAUUCAACCGUUGGAAGCAAAGCUAAGGACAGCUGACAGUAACUUGAUAAUAUCCAUACUAUAGCUAGCGGAUCUUUACAUGAAGCGAUGAGAAAGGGUGCCGCUGAACCAUAAAUGCAGGUUGAUAAAUUCACAAGAGGCUGAACCAUGGUGCUAAUGAUAGGUAAAAGCUCCACAAAAUUAAUUGGUGCUGCAACAUAAUACUUAUUUUUCACAUGAGAUGUUGGAGCUGUGUAAACAGGAAAAAAUGCAAGAGAAUGAGCAAAAAAACAGUGGUACAAAUUAAAGAUAAUCUAGAACUCUUGUUCAAUCAUACGGUCAUAUAAGUGUCGAUGAAUACUGAAAAGGCAAGAGAUACAUCAUCCGCGUAGUAAUUGGAAACACAAAGACACAAAGUUUUACCUAGAAACCUGAAGCACGCCUUUCUAGACAUGGCAAACUCUUGGACGUAGAUCCUCUAAUCUACUUGACGCCCUUGCAGGCAUUAUUGCACUUGUGUAUGUUUAGUCUACCAGCAGAAGCGUUUUUUUACAUUAUUGCACUUCUGUAUGUGAUGUAUAAUACUUUACAUUAGUAGUGAAAAAUUCAGCUGAAAGGGCACACCCCAGCAAUCCUCAUCUUGUGAACGCUGAGAAACUUCGGUGGUAUGAGAAAAAACUGAAGACAACUUCCUUCCGUUAGUUUCAGUAUAUGAAGGCAGCAUUAGUUCAGGGAUUGUCACAUUAGUAGUUAAUAUGAUGGAGUUUGUACAUCGAAAUACAUGUCCACGUAUAACUUAUUUGCAGGUUUGUAUUAACUGAUAUAGCUCUAGAAAACACACUAUUAGUGGGGAGGAGGUGAACAACAUUUACCAAAAGCUUAACAAUCUAAAAUAAAUAUGUGGUUAAGAUUACCAUUAACAUGCAUCUUGCUGCCAUUUCAUGGAUGUUAACAUUACCAAAAAAACCCUGGAAAAAUAGCUGCAGAACAGGGAAGAGCAAAAGACCUGAUGUGAGUUCACCUUUUGUAGUCCAUAUGCACUUACAUAACCAACAGAUAUAGUGACCUGUUGAAACAUUAAUAUUCCUUGUCAAAAGCUCCAAAGCAAAGAAAAUCAACAGUCGAUUGUGAGGUCUAUAUGGAAUCAAAUAACUCCCAUAAACUAAGAAAGGCAGAGUAAAACAUCAGUCUGGGAUUCAAAAAACGAACCCUUGAGUCGUAUCCACACCAUAUGGUACACAAUUCCUCUCACGUAAGGUGAGGCUUGUGCAUAUAUACUCAACUUCAUCAUGGGAACGUGUCUGCUUGUGUACAAAAUAAUAAAGAACCAAUCGAAUCCUACACAAUGAUAAAUGCCUGUUUAUUAUUCUUAUAAAACAUUAUUUUACUUACUGGAUAAUUACACGAGAAAACAUGGAAUAAGUACAGCUAGCUCUGUAAUUGUAAAGGAAAUAAGUUGAGUUCUGUAUGUACUGGAAAAAUUAUACAGAUUUAUCUGUCUUUUUAAUGCGGGUUUUACGGAUAAAAGGACAACACUUGUACAAUCAAUCAAAAGUUAGAUGACUGCAUACACGCCCCAUACUACAGACUGUGCUGUCUAGUUUGCAGUUUGCACAUCAAGAUAGACCUAAUCAUGGCAUGGAACUAACAAAAGCUAGCGGCAGAUAAUACAAAACUGUUACUUCCAAACUUCACCCUCGUUCAUUACAGACUUACAGUCACACACCAAUUUCAGUUCAAGAUGAGCUUCCACAUCGCAGCCUGAUCGAAAAAUAAAUUCUACAGAGGGAAGAAGGGGGCAAAGGGAAUCGUGCGUGCUUACAGGUGAACUGCAACUUGCGGGACUGGGUCUCGACGACGCCCUACCUCAUGGCCACCACGAAGAGGAUCAGAUGCUGGUGAUGGUCCAAUUCAAGGCCAUGUAUCUCUGGGCGUCCCUCUCAGGCAGCCGCCGGUGCAAGAACCCGGUCAACAUCUCGGAGGCCCCCAUGGAAAGAGCCGCGGCAGUCCUCCUCGACGGUUGGGAAAGAGGAUGCCGGGACAUAGCCUCCGCUGCUGCUCCGAGACGGAAUCAUGAUGCGGUGAUGGACACGCGGACAGAACGG
rnacentral:lncRNA from 1 species